AGUGAACGCUGGCGGUAGGCCUAACACAUGCAAGUCGAACGGCAGCACAGUAAGAGCUUGCUCUUACGGGUGGCGAGUGGCGGACGGGUGAGGAAUACAUCGGAAUCUACUUUUUCGUGGGGGAUAACGUAGGGAAACUUAAGCUAAUACCGCAUACGACCUACGGGUGAAAGCAGGGGAUCUUCGGACCUUGCGCGAUUGAAUGAGCCGAUGUCGGAUUAGCUAGUUGGCGGGGUAAAGGCCCACCAAGGCGACGAUCCGUAGCUGGUCUGAGAGGAUGAUCGGCCACACUGGAACUGAGACACGGUCCAGACUCCUACGGGAGGCAGCAGUGGGGAAUAUUGGACAAUGGGCGCAAGCCUGAUCCAGCCAUACCGCGUGGGUGAAGAAGGCCUUCGGGUUGUAAAGCCCUUUUGUUGGGAAAGAAAAGCAGCAGGUUAAUACCCCGUUGUUCUGACGGUACCCAAAGAAUAAGCACCGGCUAACUUCGUG
rnacentral:rRNA from 1 species